rnacentral:rRNA from 1 species
UACGAAGGGGGCUAGCGUUGUUCGGAAUUACUGGGCGUAAAGCGCACGUAGGCGGAUGUUUAAGUUAGGGGUGAAAUCCCAGGGCUCAACCCUGGAACUGCCUCUAAUACUGGGCAUCUAGAGUCCGAGAGAGGUGGGUGGAAUUCCGAGUGUAGAGGUGAAAUUCGUAGAUAUUCGGAGGAACACCAGUGGCGAAGGCGGCUCACUGGCUCGGUACUGACGCUGAGGUGCGAAAGCGUGGGGAGCAAACAGG